UACGUAGGGUGCAAGCGUUGUCCGGAAUUAUUGGGCGUAAAGAGCUCGUAGGCGGUUUGUCGCGUCGAAUGUGAAAACCCGGGGCUCAACCCCGGGCCUGCAUCCGAUACGGGCAGACUAGAGUUCGGUAGGGGAGUCUGGAAUUCCUGGUGAGCGGUGAAAUGCGCAGAUAUCAGGAGGAACACCAAUGGCGAAGGCAGCUCGCUGGGACGGUACUGACGCCUGGAGACGCGAAAGCGUGGGGAGCA
rnacentral:rRNA from 1 species